UAAAGAAUUGCACCUCUUUAGAGACCUGGGGCGUUUACGGCAAACAUAUGGAACACCACAAAGUAUACAGAGCUCAAAAUACUACCGUGUCAUACAACAGCAAAAGCUGGGUAGUAGUUUCAUAAUGCACUGCCAUUACAGACACCAGUGUGGGUUUGAGCAUUUUAAAUGCAGUGGAAUCAUUUGAUUUUUGACCAGAGGGGACUCCUGAAAAACUCAACUUAUUCUAGUAAACAGACUCCUUACCCUAAAGGUAGGAAUGUAUCAACUUUACUGAAAGGACCUUUGCCAUCACGCUACACGAAUGUGAUGCGGUUGUAAUUAAAAUUGAGUUUCCAACUUAAAACAGUGCAACUUGCCAAAAUGCCUUUGUACAUAGGCUUCAAGGGAAGGCAAGCGAGAUGUGGAACUUAUCAGUUAACAAGUCAGAAAAAACACAAAAAUUACAUUUAUUGUUAGUUGCUCAGGGAUUAUCAGUAACUUUCAAAAGUAAAGCAAAAAGAGGCCCACAUCUCCUAAAAUGUUAAUAAUCAUUAGGAUAUUUCUCAUCAGAAAAUAACUGCAAGACAAGUGCUGACUUAGAUCUAAAUUUGAUAGUGACUUCUAUACACUAUGUUGUAACUAAAAUUCUUUACGAGCGAUUAGUAUAGCAAUGUUGCAGCUGAGAUUCCCUGACCCAUCCAUUUUAAUUCCACCUUCCCUUAAAAGAACACAAAAUCUACCUACCCUCUUUUGGACUAGUUACUGUUGCUCCUUACAUCUAUCACAGGAAUGGAUUAGACUCUACUAAAAACAUGUGUGUGCUGUAUCUGCAAAGAUCCAAAUUUAAGGCGAAGAACUUGUUUUCCUAAUACGCCAGGCUGGAAGCCUCUGUUAUUUAACAUCUUGUACAAAUUUAACAUAUCCCGAGUAAUAGCUACAGACUAGAAACAGGUAUCACACAAACCAAAACCCAGUAACCCGCUUUGUCCUAUUGCUAGAAAGGUUGCUACAUUUUCAGGGAGACUAUGGAUAUAGUUAGAUUAUUUUGGUCUGUAUGCCCCCAAAUUAAAAAAGAGAUUCUGCUACGGAAUACAAUAUUUUUGGUUUAAGCCCUUCAGACCCUCUCAAUUUUUAACCCUCUCUUAGAAGCUGACAAAUCUCUUUCUACAGUUGUCCUCUCAGGUGGCCAGUGUUAGUAUUGCGAGUGCUGCAGAAAUGAACACGCACAUUGAUAUAUUUUCUUUUAUUUGAAGCAGCACCAUUUGAUAUUAGCAUAGAUCUGGAAAUAAAGUCUACUAUACAACAAACAAUUGCGGCUCUAACAAAAUGAAUGGCCAUGCCUCAGAGGUGCAAUGAUGCUGCUGGACACCCAGGGCAGCUCCCGCACACAAGGCGGCUUCUGGUUGCUGCUGCACUGCACGAUUGUGAUUGCGAUCCUGUGGCUGCAGCAACAGCCUUUUUUUUUCUGUCCUCACCACACCAAGUCAGCACCCAGGGCAGCUGCCAUGGUUGCCCUCUCAUAGCUAUGUCACUGCCACCUCUGAUUUCCUUCAAUUUUAUAGAGACUAGGGGAUUUUUUAAAUUUUGGAUUUUAAAAUUGUUUCUGCUUCUUCACAUACCAAUUUCAUACCAAAUUUGAGUAUUCUGUCAUUAUAUAACACUUUUACAAACUUGAGCUAAGGUGAUGUUUUGAUCUUAAAACACUGGACAAUAUAGAUAAUAAACAUACCCUAUUUUACAACAAUACAAACCCAAUUUACUGUAAGACUAGACCAUUUAACUGAUUUGCACUGCAUUAUUAUACAACAAUGACUCAAAGUCAAAGUAAAGCCUUUCGACUGGUUCAUGGAAAUUAAAUUCCACUUCAGGAAACAAGUCUGGGCUUUAGGCCUGAAUUUUCAGAACCUUUAUUGUGCUUGCAAAACAAUGCAGGCACAACAUAUAUGAUGUUAAAAAAUAAUAUAAAAAGGUGUUUACCCUAUAUUUUUACCAUCUGAUUGAGAUGAGAUGUAGACCCUUGGUGGACAUUACAUUUAUUGCACAACUGAUCUCUUAGUCACUUGAUAAAUUGUAACAAGCCACACACACAAUCAAUUUAUUAUGGGAUAAAGGCUCACGUGGCGAGAUGUGUGAUUUUGGGAAUCCAGGAUAAAACUGUUCAGAUCCCAACACAUGUUUAAAUUAACAUCUGCCAGGGACCUUAGGUAUAUUAACAUAAGAUAAACUAGUGCUGCCAGAACAUUUCAGGCAUUAAUGCUUCACUGUUAAACUCAACAAAA